rnacentral:lncRNA from 1 species
GGGAUUUUAUCAUUUUAAAACUUUUCCAGGCCUGGAAAAUACAAUUACUUUUCCAGGAUUUUCAUGACCGUACAAACCCAGCAAGGUCAGGUCUGAGAUGGAGCAAGUAAAGAUGAUCAUACAUCGUCUGAUUUCAGGAAGAGAACGGAUGAGUUACUGUCCUGAGGUGUUUUUAUAAACCACAGCUCCUAAACAUAUUGUCAAAGCAGGAAAUUCAGAGAGAAAAGCCACAUCGUGAGGCAGCAGAGAUUUUGACAUAUCCAGUAAUCCCUCACCCAGCAGCUCCUUGACUUUGUGUUUCUCCGCCACAGUCUGCAGCUGGCUGAGGAGAGGUGCAUUGUGGGUCAGCGUGCUCCAGCGGUGGAGGAGGGCGAGUGCUUCUUGGGAGGAAAGAGCCUGGGGUCGUAAGGUCAGCCAGCCAGCCUCCCCGUGGACCCCCAGAGCUGUUCCACGAUGUUGCAGGAUGGAGCUCAGAGUCUGGAGAUACAGGCUCAGCUGACCUGCCUUCACCAGCCUGGAGAAGAGAAGAGGGUUAUGAGAAGAGGAGAGGUAACAGAGCUGUCCCACGAUGCUGCAGUCGGAAGCUCAGCACUAGAGGCUCAGCUGACCCGCCUUCACCAGCCUGGAGAAGAGAAGAGGGUUAUGAGAAGAGGGUUAUGAGAAGAGGAGAGGUAACAGAGCUGUCCCACGAUGCUGCAGUCGGAAGCUCAGCACUAGAGGCUCAGCCGACCCGCCUUCACCAGCCUGGAGAAGAGAAGAGGGUUAUGAGAAGAGGAGAGGUAACAGAGCUGUCCCACGAUGCUGCAGUCGGAAGCUCAGCACUAGAGGCUCAGCUGACCUGCCUUCACCAGCCUGGAGAAGAGAAGAGGGUUAAUGAGAGGAAGAGAGGUAACAGAGCUGUCCCACGAUGCUGCAGUCGGAAGCUCAGCACUAGAGGCUCAGCCGACCUGCCUUCAGCAGUCUGGAGAGCUGUUGGAAUGGAUAGCUGCCAUAUUAUGGGCUCUUUUGUGUGUUUUGUUUUGCUUAUCUUAACUGUAGACCACUUUUAACAAGAGAGUUUUCAUCUAUAUUUUUGUAGCGGUCUAUUUACCACCAUAAACUGAUGCUGUCAUUAAGACCACACUCAAUGAGCUGUAUAGGACCAAAAGCAAACAAGAAAAUGCUCAUCCAGAGGCGGGGCUCCUAGUGGCCAGUGUUAGUAAUGCAGGGAAACUGAAAUCGGUUCUACCUCAUUUCUACCAGCACGUCACCUGUGCAUCUAGAGGCGACAAAACUCUAAAAUCACCUUCACAUAGAAACGCAUGCAAAGCUCGCUCGCCCUCCAUUCAGCAAAUCUGACCAUAACUUUAUCCUCCUGAUUCCUGCUUACCAGUAAAAACUCAAAACAGGAAGUAUGUUAAACACUAUUA